UGUGUCUUUUUGAAUUAUAUUGAUAGCUUCAAAAAUUUCAUAACGAUUAGCAAGAAAAUUUAAUUGAUAACAAUUUACUUCGAAAAUUAUGAGUAUAGUAGAAGAAAAUACGAUACGUUUAUUUUGCAUAGAGUAUCUUAUAAACACUUAAAGUGUAGAGAGAAGUAAUUUAAUAAAGAAAAUUCAGAGAAUUAGUCAUUUUCAAUUUAACCGAAAUUUAUAGUGAAGAAUAAAUAAGAAUUACUUAAAUUUACCGAUAAACAACAAAAAUGGUUACAAGAAAUAAAUAAAAUAUAUGAAUAUAGGAAAAGUUAAGCAACAAAUAUUACUUAAGGUUGUAUAAAAAAAAUGGUUUUCUACCCUGAUGUUUAUUUUUCUUCUAUCUCUCAAAGAUCUCGUAUCUCAUUAAGAUAUGAGGUGUCAUUUUCUAACUUUAUUAAAACUAUAUAUUAUAUUCUUUUAAUAAUAACAUCAUAAUGUUUUAAGCGUUAUUAGAAUUGACGUGAUCUAUGGAGACAAGCAAGGGUUGAAACUGAUUUAUAAUCGCAGAAUAAAAACAUUCUUUUUACAUAUUAUUAUCAAAAUACAUAAAAAAAAUUGAUGUGGUAAGUUAUGAUAAGUUUUGAACAGCUAUGUUUAAAAAGAUUGGGACUUUUUGCUAAGUUAAUUCUUAUUAAACUAAUUAUCAUUGUUUAUAAUUCACAAUCCUAGGACGAAGACACUAGAUGUUUGUUUAUUUAACAUGAUGAUUUAUUACUACAGAUUCUUGAUUCUUUAUUAUACAAUAUUAUGACACGAAACCAAACAACUUAGGAGGUAGUAGAUGAAUAACUAUGUCCUUUUCAAAAAAUAAAACUGCACUAUGCGAAGUAGCAACAAAUAAUGAAGGUUGAAGGUUUUUGACAUAUUUUGAUAUCAUCAGAUAAGUUUCCAAAAAUUUCCCAAAUUCAAGCUUCGUUGUAUUUUGUGUCGUGAUGGAGAAUACAAAACAUUUUACAACUUAUCUUUUUUUUCUAAGUUUUCCAAUAUUAUAACAUCACAUAAUGUUGGUUCUUUGCAAAACUGAUGAUAGAGACUAAGUUUAUUUUGAUAUCUAUUGUAUAGUUGAUGCAUCUAUAUAUCAUAGGUCACAUUGAAGACGAAGUGUGAAAAUGUUAAUAGAUGUUUUAUACUCGAUUACUAUAUUCUACUUUGGUCUUGAGAGUGAAGAUAUUUGUGUUAUGCAUUUAGAAUAUGUUAUGAAUUCAACUGCUGAGUACUACUAAAUUUCCAAAAAUCUUCAAGUGCUUUGACCUUGCAAAGUGCUAGGAAGUAGAGGUUCAUUAAUGUAAAAGACAAUCAAAAAAUUUUCAAUUCAUCACUAUCAAAGAAAUUUAAAAAAAAUGAUGAUGUCAUAUUAAGUCGACAGCAAAACAUAUCAAAAAUAAUUUUAGUUGAGCUAGCUGUUUCUUUAUUUAACAUGAUGAUCUAUUACUACAGAUUCUUGAUUUUUUAUUAUACAAUAUUAUGACACGAAACCAAACAACUUAGGAGUUAGUAGAUGAAUAACUAUGUCCUUUUCAAAAAAUAAAACCGCACUAUGCGAAGUAGCAACAAAUUAUGGAGGUUGAAGGUUUUUGACAUGUUUUGAUAUCAUCAGAUAAGUUUCCAAAAAAUUCCCCAAAUUCAAGCUUCGUUGUAUUUUGUAUCAUGAUGGAGAAUGUAAAACAUUUUACAACUUAUCUUUUUUUUUAAGUUUUCCAACAUUAUAAUAUCACAUAAUGUUGGUUCUUUGCAAAACUGAUGAUAGAGACUAAGCUUAUUUUGAUAUCUAUUGUAUAGUUGAUGCAUCUAUAUAUCAUAGGUCACAUUGAAGACGAAGUGUGAAAAUGUUAAUAGAUGUUUUAUACUCGAUUACUAUAUUCUACUUUGGCCUUGAGAGUGAAGAUAUUUUUGUUAUGCAGUGCAUUUAGAAUAUGUUAUGAAUUCAACUGCUGAGUACUACUAAAUUUCCAAAAAUCGUAAAGUGCUUUGACCUUGCAAAGUGCUAGGAAGUAGAGGUUCAUUAAUGUAAAAGACAAUCAAAAAAUUUUCAAUUCAUCACUAUCAAAGAAAUUUAAAAAAAAUGAUGAUGUUAUAUUAAGUCGACAGCAAAACAUAUCAAAAUAAUUUUAGUUGAGCUAGUUGCGAAGAAAAUUGAUGUGGAAUGAGACCAUGAAUAAGUUUUGAACAGCUAUGUGUAAAAGGUUUGGAAGUUUUUGCUAAGUUAAUUCUUAUUAAACUAAUUAUCAUUGUUUAUAAUUCACAAUCCUAGGACGAAGACACUAGAUGUUUCUUUAUUUACUAAUAAACAUGAUGAUUUAUUACUACAGAUUCUUGAUUUUUUAUUAUACAAUAUUAUGACACGAAACCAAGCAACUUAGGAGUUAGUAGAUGAAUAACUAUGUCCUUUUCAAAAAAUAAAACCGCACUAUGUAAAGUAGCAACAAAUUAUAAAGGUUGAAGGUUUUUGACAUAUUUUGAUAUCAUCAGAUAAGUUUCCAAAAAAUUCCCCAAAUUCAAGCUUCCUUGUAUUUUGUGUCAUGAUGGAGAAUGCAAAACAUUUUACAACUUAUCUUUUUUGUCUAAGUUUUCCAAUAUUAUAACAUCACAUAAUGUUGGUUAUUUGCAAAACUGAUGAUAGACACUAAGUUUAUUUUCAUAUCUAUUGUAUAAUUGAUGCAUCUAUAUAUCAUAGGUCACAUUGAAGACGAAGUGUGAAAAUGUUAAUAGAUGUUUUAUACUCGAUUACUAUAUUCUAAGAUUACAGAAUUCUAAGAUUCUGUUGAAGGUUUUUGACAUGUUUUGAUUUAGGCAAAUAAGUGUCCAAAAAAUUCUCCAAAUUCAAGUUUUAUUGUAUUUUGUAUCACAAUGGACAAUGAAAAACAAGCUUUCAUGAUGUGCAAUGUAUUACAUAGAAACGUUGCAAGUUUUCCAAUAUUAUAAUUUCACAUAAUUUUGGUUCUUUGCAAUACAGAUGAUAGAGACUAAGUUUAUUUUGCUAUCUAUUGUGUACUUGAUGUAUUUAUAUAUUAUAGGUCUACUUUUGUUCUUGAGAGUGAAGAUAUUUUUGUUAUGCAGUGCAUUUAGAAUAUGUUAUGAAUUCAACUGCUGAGUACCACUGAAUUUCCAAAAAUCUUGCAACAACCUUGGAAAGUGCUAGGAAGCAACAAUCAAAGAAUUUUCAAUGAAAAAUGAUGAAUAAUAAAAAUGAUGAUGUCAUAUUAAGUUGAUAGCAAACUCGUACUAAGUUAAAAGGUGGUACAAACAAUUAAAUGAUACAUUAAAAUUGAGAUACUCAUGAAAUUUAAUGAGAGUAUGAUAAUAGUUAUCAACUUUAAUUCGAGUAUAUACGAAAUUAAACGUAAUGAUGCUAAAAACAAAUAAUGGAUCUAUUUCUUUAUAAAAGGUUUAGUGACUUUUUAUAACCAGCUAUUUCCUUCCAAAACAUUUCUCAUCAAAUUUCUACCAGUCGAUGACGCCAUUAUAUCGCGCCAGAUGACCUUAAACAUUUUUCAUAAUAUUGUCCUUCUGGAAAUAAAAAAUGAAUCAACUCGAGCUAACGGUCAUGUAAUCGAAAUAUAUUGAUAUUUAAAAGCAUGUUUUAGAACUGAAUAAUUGAAUGUAACUAAUUUAAACUUUCCUUUUGAAAAUAUGUAUUAUGAUGCACAUACAUAUGUAUAGUACUGACAUCUCAUAUACAGUGUUUUUUAAAUUGAUGCGAAAGAUUUCAACGAGUGAUUUUUCAACAAAAAUUAAGGAGGUUUUUCAUAUAACUUUUUGUUCAAAACGCUUCCCCAUAUGUAUGUAUAGUACUGACAUCUCAUAUACAGUGUUUUUUAAAUUGAUGCGAAAGAUUUCAAUGAGUGAUUUUUCAACAAAAAUUAAGGAGGUUUUUCAUAUAACUUUUUGUUCAAAACGCUUCCCCACUGAGUUACAGCACUUUAAAGUUGAAUGAAAUUUGGCAGAUAACUGUUGCUAAUAUAAUGACACUUUUUGACGAUUUUUAUAACCCGAAAAUGUUAAUACAAGGGGCUGAAAAAUUUCUCAAUCAUAUAUAAAUCAUUUCCUCCUAAAAUUGUUAGUUUGAUCAGAAAAAAUAAAAUAAUACACAGGUUCAAGUGAAUAAAUUCAGAGAUUGGUUAUUAUUAGUCAAAAAAAUUAAGUUAUGUCAAAUUGAUCUCAGCAUUAUUUUAGUUUUUGUGGUCAAACUAACUAACUAUUUGCUAGUUGUAAAAUGUCAAGAGAUUUUGUCCCUUAACUUUAGAGGGCUAUAACUUGGAAGAGAAGGGGUUUUGAACAAAAAGUUAUAUGAAAGGCACCCCUUAAUUCUGCUGAAAAAUUACACCUUGAAAUCUUUCGCAUCAAUUUAGAAACAGCCUGUAUAUAACAUGGUAAUAUCCUCAUAAAUGAUGACAAAAGUAUUAGGAAACCUGUUUAUUGUAAAAUUUUUUUAAAAUGAUAUAGCGAAAGAACAUUGUAGAAGCUUUAAAACCUUGAAACAAAAGUAUGACUCAUAAAAAUGUUUAGAUGAUUAGUUGAUUUCGAUGAAUAUGGACGUGUUUAAUACAUGUUUGUGUACCAUUUAAUAGUUUUCUUCGCCGCCCGAGUAGAAGUUUCUCUGAUCUAAAAUAAAACUUAAAAAUCAAGAACUGAGGAUUGACUCAAGUACAAAUGGCAAGUACCUACUCAUAUCUCGCAGUUCAAACAACGUAUAGGAAAUAUGGCGAAACCAAGCGAGUCUAAUCAAAACCUAAAAUAGGAAAAGAUUAUCUAGACAUCUGUUAGAGAAGACCGAUUUUUAGUACAAACAACUUAAAAAAUCACAAACAGAAAAGGAUUUCAGUAUUCUGAAGUGCCGUGGAGUCACUAUUUUCCAUAAAACUGUUACUAAACAAUUUAAUGAGCGCGAUCGCAAAUCCAGAUAAAAAGAAAAAUAUGUAUGAAGAAAUUGUUUGAAUGGACCAAAAAAAAGAUGUGUUGGACUGGCAAAAAAGUGUUGUGCUCCUAGGAAAGCAUAUAAGGGACAUUUACUGUUGUUUAUUAUUGUUGGAACACCGCCCGCAGUGAUCUUUUCCUACCACAACCAAGACUUCCUUAUUUCUUUCGGACGAAUGAAUUCAAAGACCUAUAUCAUCCAUAAUAAUAAUAAUCGAUAAAGUAAAUUAUAUUGCAAACAUUAACAUGCAUUUUCAAUCUAAUAGUAAUCAACUUGGUUGAAAGUAUUGAUUAUGAAAACGGUUAGAGGUAUAACAGUUGAAAAGAAAUCAACGCCACAAAGAAUAAUUUGUAUAUUACAAGAUUUAAAAAAUUAUUAACUGUAAGAUUUAUUAGUAUUCUUUAAAAACAUCUUUUGGUUAUAGCAAAACAGAUACUGAUAGUAUAUGUGACUUUAUUGGCAAAGCUUUGAAAAAAAAUUAUUAAAAGUAUAAUGACAACGAAAAGUAAAUUUUAAAAGUCUUUCGUAUAUAGGAAAUUACUUACACAAAGGACGUACCCCAGAAUUUUAUUCAAAACGAUGCACAGUGUUUUGUAUAUGUAAAAUUCAAUGCCUAUAAUUCAGAAAUUUUUGGACAGAAAAACCAAGUAUAUUGAGAAGAUUGUAAAUUGAACAUAGUUUGUAAUUAUUAGAGAGGAAAAAGAAGAGCUACAUAUUAUUUCACUUCUUGCAUAUCACUCAUUACUAAAAAUGCCUAAUAUACUGACUGGAUAUGAAACCGUUGAUGAUUCGUCGUUUAUAGUGUAGACAAUUAUUAAUCAAGAUUUUUUGUUAAUAAAUACAAAAUUUGAAGUGCUAUCAAGGCAAAGACUAGGUGCAAUAUAGUGAUAUUACGAAUCCAAGCCAAUUUAUGAUCCCUGAAAGGACUUUUGGUCAUAAGCUACAUGUACCAUUUAUUUUGUUAUACCAAUACAAUUUGUUCUGUUUGUUUUGCGUCCAGAAGCGCAACAAUAUUUUCGUAACCUAUUUUAUAAUUACGUUUUGGCUCAUUUUGGUGUUUAAGUAGAUCAACAACUAAACGCAACGUUUGAUGAUUGAUAGAUCAGGAGGCAAAUAUA